UACGUAGGGGGCAAGCGUUAUCCGGAUUUACUGGGUGUAAAGGGGGCGCAGACGGCGAUGCAAGCCAGGAGUGAAAGCCCGGGGCCCAACCCCGGGACUGCUCUUGGAACUGCGUGGCUGGAGUGCAGGAGGGGCAGGCGGAAUUCCUGGUGUAGCGGUGAAAUGCGUAGAUAUCAGGAGGAACACCGGUGGCGAAGGCGGCCUGCUGGACUGCAACUGACGUUGAGGCUCGAAAGUGUGGGGAGCAAACAGG
rnacentral:rRNA from 1 species